UUGGAAUCUAGUGUUCGCGGGCAGGAAGC
rnacentral:piRNA from 1 species